rnacentral:rRNA from 1 species
UACGUAGGGUGCGAGCGUUAAUCGGACUUACUGGGCGUAAAGUGUGCGCAGGCGGCCGCGCAAGUCGAGUGUGAAAGCCCCGGGCUUAACUUGGGAAUUGCGCUCGAAACUACGUGGCUGGAGUGUGGCAGAGGAAGGUGGAAUUCCACGUGUAGCGGUGAAAUGCGUAGAGAUGUGGAGGAACACCAAUGGCGAAGGCAGCCUUCUGGGCCAACACUGACGCUCAUGCACGAAAGCGUGGGGAGCAAACAGG